rnacentral:rRNA from 1 species
UGGGGAAUAUUGGACAAUGGGCGCAAGCCUGAUCCAGCAAUGCCGCGUGUGUGAAGAAGGCCUUCGGGUUGUAAAGCACUUUUAUCAGGAGCGAAACGCUGUCGGCUAAUACCCGGCGGAACUGACGGUACCUGAGGAAUAAGCACCGGCUAACUUCGUGCCAGCAGCCGCGGUAAUACGAAGGGUGCAAGCGUUAAUCGGAAUUACUGGGCGUAAAGCGUGCGUAGGCGGUUUCUUAAGUCUGCUGUGAAAUCCCCGGGCUCAACCUGGGAAUGGCAGUGGAUACUGGGAGGCUAGAGUGUGUCAGAGGGUGGUGGAAUUCCCGGUGUAGCGGUGAAAUGCGUAGAGAUCGGGAGGAACAUCAGUGGCGAAGGCGGCCACCUGGGACAACACUGACGCUGAGGCACGAAAAGCGUGGGGAGCAAACAGGAUUAGAUACCCUGGUAGUCCACGCCCUAAAACGAUGCGAACUGGAUGUUGGUCUCAACUCGGAGAUCAGUGUCG